GUCAAAUCCAUGAUAUAUCAACUCCCCCAGACUUACCCUUUUGCUUGUCCUCAAGCAAAACAAACAUGCAGUCUCUCUGAAAGAGGUUUGAAAACAGCAGGGACUCACAAAUUUAAAACAUGGAAAUCAUCACCUCUAGAAUAUUGCAAUCCACAUCUAAAAAGUCCUAAUCACAAAAGUACAUUAUGCAAUAUCCUAACUUAGAAACCAAAUUCAAGUAGCCAACAACUCAGAAAAUCCUGUCUAACAUUCCCC
rnacentral:lncRNA from 1 species